rnacentral:tRNA from 1 species
AUUAGUAUGUCUGAUAAAAGAAUUAUUUUGAUAGAAUAAAAAAUGUAUAUUAAUAUACUACUAAUA